GAUGAACGCUGGCGGCGUGCCUAAUACAUGCAAGUCGAGCGAACGGACGAGAAGCUUGCUUCUCUGAUGUUAGCGGCGGACGGGUGAGUAACACGUGGAUAACCUACCUAUAAGACUGGGAUAACUUCGGGAAACCGGAGCUAAUACCGGAUGAUAUUUUGAACCGCAUGGUUCAAAAGUGAAAGACGGUCUUGCUGUCACUUAUAGAUGGAUCCGCGCUGCAUUAGCUAGUUGGUAAGGUAACGGCUUACCAAGGCAACGAUGCAUAGCCGACCUGAGAGGGUGAUCGGCCACACUGGAACUGAGACACGGUCCAGACUCCUACGGGAGGCAGCAGUAGGGAAUCUUCCGCAAUGGGCGAAAGCCUGACGGAGCAACGCCGAGUGAGUGAUGAAGGUCUUCGGAUCGUAAAACUCUGUUAUUAGGGAAGAACAUAUGUGUAAGUAACUGUGCACAUCUUGACGGUACCUAAUCAGAAAGCAACGGCUAACUACGUG
rnacentral:rRNA from 1 species